rnacentral:rRNA from 1 species
UACGUAUGGUGCAAGCGUUAUCCGGAUUUACUGGGUGUAAAGGGAGCGUAGACGGAUAGGCAAGUCUGAAGUGAAAGCCCGGGGCUCAACCCCGGGACUGCUUUGGAAACUGUUUAUCUAGAGUGCUGGAGAGGUAAGUGGAAUUCCUAGUGUAGCGGUGAAAUGCGUAGAUAUUAGGAGGAACACCAGUGGCGAAGGCGGCUUACUGGACAGUAACUGACGUUGAGGCUCGAAAGCGUGGGGAGCAAACAGG